rnacentral:pre_miRNA from 1 species
GUUGCCACGUUUCCUUAUCACUUCUUCUCGCCCGGUCUGUACUUGAGGAACUGGACGGAGAACUGAUAAGGGCUUGUGGCUAA